ACCCCUCAGAGACUUAUCCCGUCCUCAUCUGCCACUGGCAGAUUCGAACUGCGGGAUUAAUAAUGAAUACCUGAUAAUCAGGAAAAUAAAAUCAUUAUUUACGCCGAGCCCCUGAAAAUCUAUCAGGGUGAUGAUAUAGUCCAAUUCAAUUAAUUUAUUUAAUUGGCCAGCAGGAGCGGUAAUACGAAAGGUCCAAGCGUUAUCCGGUUUUAUUGGGCGUAAAGAGUCCGUAGGCGUCUUGAUAAGUUUUUUGUUAAAUACUAGCGCCUAACGCUAGUCCAGCAAAAAAAACUAUCAUGAUAGAGGGUGGGAGAGGCGAGUGGAAUGGCUGGUGUAGGAGUCAAAUCCGUUAAUAUCAGCUGGAACACCGAAGGCGAAAGCAGCUCGCUAGAACACUUCUGACGCUCAGGGACGAAAGCUAGGGGAGAGAAAGGGAUUAGAUACCCCUGUAUUCCUAGCCGUAAACGAUAGAUACUUGGCAUUGGUAGUCUCGACCCUAUCAGUGUCGCUCUAAACAAGUUAACACCUUAAGUAUCUCGCCUGGGGAGUACGAGCGCAAGCUUAAAACUCAAAGGAAUAGACGGGGAGCUGCACAAGCGGUGGAGCAUGUGGUUUAAUUCGAUGAUAAGCGAGUAACCUCACCAGGGCUUGACAUCCUGCCUAUGUUUAACCUUAAUCGGAUAAACUUAGUGGCAGUGACAGGUGCUGCAUGGUUGCCGUCAGCAUGUGCCGUGAGGUGCACAGUUAAUUCUGGUAACAUGCGCAACCCUCACCCCGAUUUACUUUUUAUCGGGGAACUGCUUCGGAUAACGGAGAGGAAGGUGGGGAUGACGUCAAAUCAGCAUGGUCCUUAUGCCCUGGGCUACACACGUGCUACAAUGGCCACUACAAUGAGUUUGCCAAGUCGCAAGACGGAGCUAAUCUCAUCAAAGGUGGUCCCAGUUCGGAUUGAGGGCUGCAACUCGCCCUCAUGAAGUUGGAAUCGCUAGUAACCGCGGAUCAGCCUCGCCGCGGUGAAUACGUUCUCAGCUCUUGUACUCACCGCCCGUCACAUUAAGGGAGCCGGCAGUACCCAAAUGCCGAUGUUCGUCGGCAAAAGGUAAGGUUGGUAACAAGAAUGAAGUCGUAACAAGGCAUCCGUAGCGGAAGCUGUGGAUGGAUCACCUCCUUU
rfam:Candidatus Kuenenbacteria bacterium CG2_30_39_24 cg2_3.0_scaffold_707_c, whole genome shotgun sequence.